UGAAUACGAGAUGCCACGGCGUCGAAGCAGUGUAUGUCAGACUUCCAAGAAAAGCUCGCAAUGUCAUAAAUAAAGAAUGCCUGUACCAUAACCGACACAGGUGGGUAGGUAGAGUAUACUAAGGGGCGCGAGAUAACUCUCUCUAAGGAACUCAGCAAAAUAACUCCGUAACUUCGGGAGAAGGAGUGCCUUCUUUAGGAAGGUUGCAAUAACAAGAUCCAAGCAACUGUUUAUCAAAAACACAGGUCUCCGCUAAGUCGUAAGACGAUGUAUGGGGGCUGACGCCUGCCCAGUGCCAGAAGGUUAAAGAAGUUGGUUAGCUUUUGCGAAGCUGAUGACUGAAGCCCUGGUGAACGGCGGCCGUAACAAUAACGGUCCUAAGGUAGCGAAAUUCCUUGUCGGGUAAGUUCCGACCCGCACGAAAGGCGUAAUGAUUUGGAUACUGUCUCGGAGAGGGACUCGGUGAAAUAGACUUGUCUGUGAAGAUGCGGACUACCUGCACCAGGACAGAAAGACCCUAUGAAGCUUUACUGUAACUUGAAAUUGAAAUUGGACUUUAUUUGCGCAGUAUAGGUGGAAGGCGUUGAAAGUAAUCUUGCGGGAUUAGUGGAGCCAUCAGUGAGAUACCACUCCUAUAAUGUUAGAUUUCUAACUUUGGAUCAUGAUCUGGUCAAAGAACAGUUUCAGGCGGGCAGUUUGACUGGGGCGGUCGCCUCCCAAAUGGUAACGGAGGCGUACAAAGGUUUCCUCUGAACGGGUAGAAAUCGUAUCUAGAGUGUAAAGGCAUAAGGAAGCUUGACUGUGAGACCUACAAGUCGAGCAGGGACGAAAGUCGGUCUUAGUGAUCUGACGGUGCUGAGUGGAAAGGCCGUCACUCAACGGAUAAAAGUUACUCUAGGAUAACAGGCUGAUCUCCCCCAAGAGUUCACAUCGACGGGGAGGUUUGGCACCUCGAUGUCGGCUCAUCGCAUCCUGGGGCGGUAGUACGUCCCAAGGGUUGGGCUGUUCGCCCAUGAAAGCGGUACGCGAGCUGGGUUCAGAACGUCGUGAGACAGUUCGGUCCAUAUCCGGUGUAGGCGUUAGAAUAUUGAGAGGAGCCCUCUUUAGUACGAGAGGACCGAGAAGGACAUACCUCUGGUGUACCAGUUAUCGUGCCAACGGUAAACGCUGGGUAGCUAUGUAUGGAGAGGAUAACCGCUGAAAGCAUCUAAGUGGGAAGCCCACCUCAAGAUGAGUAUUCUCAUC
rnacentral:rRNA from 1 species